GCCGCCAUCGUCUAGUGGCUAGGACAUCAGGUUUUCAUCCUGAAAACCGGGGUUCAAUUCCCCGUGGCGGUACCA
rnacentral:tRNA from 1 species